rnacentral:rRNA from 1 species
UACAGAGGGGGCAAGCGUUGUUCGGAAUUACUGGGCGUAAAGGGCGCGUAGGCGGCCUUCUAAGUCGAACGUGAAAUCCCUGGGCUCAACCCAGGAACUGCGUCCGAUACUGGAAGGCUUGAAUCCGGGAGAGGGAUGCGGAAUUCCAGGUGUAGCGGUGAAAUGCGUAGAUAUCUGGAGGAACACCGGUGGCGAAGGCGGCAUCCUGGACCGGCAUUGACGCUGAGGCGCGAAAGCCAGGGGGAGCAAACGGG